AGCAGCCGCGGUAAUUCCAGCUCCAAUAGCGUAUAUUAAAGUUGUUGCAGUUAAAAAGCUCGUAGUUGAAUUUCGGAAUCUGUCCAUCGGUCGGGCUUCACUGUCCGUACUGGUGUGGUGGGUUCUUACCUUCUGAAUAACCAGCAUGCCAUUCACUUGGUGCGUUGGGGAAGCAGGACUAUUACCUUGAAAAAAUUAGAGUGCUCAAAGCAGGCUAGUGCCUGAAUACAUUAGCAUGGAAUAAUAAAAUAGGACGGCAUGGUUCUAUUUUGUUGGUUUCUAGGAUCACCGUAAUGAUUAAUAGGGAUAGUUGGGGGCAUUAGUAUUCAAUUGUCAGAGGUGAAAUUCUUGGAUUUAUUGAAGACUAACUUCUGCGAAAGCAUUUGCCAAGGAUGUUUUCAUUAAUCAAGAACGAAAGUUAGGGGAUCGAAGACGAUCAGAUACCGUCGUAGUCUUAACCAUAAACUAUGCCGACUAGGGAUCGGACGAUGUUAAUUUUUUAAUGACUCGUUCGGCG
rnacentral:rRNA from 1 species